rnacentral:lncRNA from 1 species
AAAAAGGUGCAAAAUAUCCUUGUCACAGACCAUACAACAAAAAAACAAAAAUAACAAAACAAGACUGCACUGAAAUAUCUUCCUGACUAUCUGAGUCAGUUGUUGCAUACUCUUCUCCUUUAUCUUCUUUCUCUUUAUCAGCAUCAUCCUCACCAGAAUAGUCUUCAUCAUCCAUUUUUUCAUUACCAUUACCACCCUGUACAACUUCC